rnacentral:rRNA from 1 species
UACGGGGGGGGCAAGCGUUGUUCGGAAUUACUGGGCGUAAAGGGCUCGUAGGCGGCCAACUAAGUCGGACGUGAAAUCCCUCGGCUUAACCGGGGAACUGCGUCUGAUACUGGAUGGCUUGAAUCCGGGAGAGGGAUGCGGAAUUCCAGGUGUAGCGGUGAAAUGCGUAGAUAUCUGGAGGAACACCGGUGGCGAAGGCGGCAUCCUGGACCGGCAUUGACGCUGAAUAGCGAAAGCCAGGGGAGCAAACGGG